rnacentral:rRNA from 1 species
CGCCUACGGGGCGCAGCAGUGAGGAAUAUUGGUCAAUGGACGGAAGUCUGAACCAGCCAUGCCGCGUGCAGGAUGACGGCUCUAUGAGUUGUAAACUGCUUUUGUAUUAGGGUAAACACCCCUACGUGUAGGGGCUUGAAAGUAUAAUACGAAUAAGGAUCGGCUAACUCCGUGCCAGCAGCCGCGGUAAUACGGAGGAUCCAAGCGUUAUCCGGAUUUAUUGGGUUUAAAGGGUGCGUAGGUUGUUUUAUAAGUUAGCGGUGAAAUACCGAUGCUCAACAUCGGGGCUGCCGCUAAUACUGUAG